CCUACGGGAGGCAGCAGUGAGGAAUAUUUGUCAAUGGGCGCGAGCCUGAACCAGCCAAGUAGCGUGAAGGAUGACUGCCCUACGGGUUGUACACUUCUUUUAUAAAGGAAUAAAGUGAGGCACGUGUGCCUUUUUGUAUGUACUUUAUGAAUACGGAUCGGCUAACUCCGUUCCAGCAGCCGCGGUAAUACGGAGGAUCCGAGCGUUAUCCGGAUUUAUUGGGUUUAAAGGGAGCGUAGAUGGGUUGUUAAGACAGUUGUGAAAGUUUGCGGCUCAACCGUAAAAUUGCAAUUGAUACUGGCAGUCUUGAGGACAGUGGAGGUAGGCGGAAUUCGUGGUGUAGCGGUGAAAUGCUUAGAUAUCACGAAGAACUCCGAGUGCGAAGGCAGCUUACUAAACUGCCACUGACAUUGAUGCUCGAAAGUGUGGGUAUCAAACAGGAUUAGAUACCCGGGUAGUC
rnacentral:rRNA from 1 species